AUAACGGUCCUAAGGUAGCGAAAUUCCUUGUCGGGUAAGUUCCGACCUGCACGAAAGGCGCAACGACUUGGGCGCUGUCUCGACCAUGGACCCGGUGAAAUUGCACUGGUCGUGAAGAUGCGACUUACCCGCGGAAGGACGGAAAGACCCCGUGAACCUUCACUGCAGCUUGGCAUUGGCCGCUGGUCCCGCGUGUAGAGGAUAGGCAGGAGGCAUCGAUCCGGAGGCGCCAGCCCCCGGGGAGCCGCCCUUGGAAUACUGCCCUCGCGCGACCGGCGUCCUAACCCGAGGCCGUCAACCGGCUCGGGGACCGUGCCAGGCGGGCAGUUUGACUGGGGCGGUCGCCUCCUAAAGGGUAACGGAGGCGCGCGAAGGUCCGCUCGGGACGGUCGGCAACCGUCCUUUUGAAUGCAAGAGUACAAGCGGGCUUGACUGCGAGGCCCACAAGCCGAGCAGGUGCGAAAGCAGGCUCUAGUGAUCCGGCGGCCCCGAGUGGGUGGGCCGUCGCUCAACGGAUAAAAGGUACUCCGGGGAUAACAGGCUGAUCUUGCCCAAGAGUCCACAUCGACGGCAAGGUUUGGCACCUCGAUGUCGGCUCAUCGCAUCCUGGGGCUGGAGCAGGUCCCAAGGGUACGGCUGUUCGCCGUUUAAAGCGGUACGCGAGCUGGGUUCAGAACGUCGUGAGACAGUUCGGUCCCUAUCCUCCGCGGGCGCAAGAGAAUUGAGAGGAUCCGCCCCUAGUACGAGAGGACCGGGGUGGACGGACCUCUGGUGUGGCAGUUGUCGACCAACGGCACGGCUGCGUAGCUACGUCCGGAACGGAUAACCGCUGAAGGCAUCUAAGCGGGAAGCCGCCCUCGAGAUGAGUUCUCUUUUCGGUAAGGGCCCAGGCAGAGUACCUGGUCGAUAGGCCGCAGCUGCAAGCGCCGCGAGGCGUUCAGGCGAGCGGCACUAAUAGCCCGAGCUCUUCAUCCG
rnacentral:rRNA from 1 species